UGAUUAGGAAUGUCAAUGGGUAUGAAUACCCGAAAUAAUAUCCGAACCCGAAUCCGAACGGGGCGUGUUUACCAGAGCUAAACAGGUAUGGAUUCGAUUAUGAGUAUAGAAAAUAAAAAUCUGACGGAUAUGGAUACGGGUAUGGAUUUUGUACUUACCCAAUCCGAACCCGAACCCGAAUACGAAUAUUUAUAUAUGUACAUAAUUUAUUUUUAUUUAUUUAUAUAAUAUAUAAAAUAUUUAAUAAAUUUUAUUCUUUAGAUCUUUAUCCAACGAUAUGUAUUUUUAAAAUUUGUCAAGUUCAGGUCCAGGUUCGGAUUUCGAAUUUUUGGUCAGGUACGGAUAUGGGUAUGAAUUUUUAAAAUCCGUCGGAUUUGAAUCCGAGUUUGAAUUUUUAAUUUAAUUUUUGAAUUCGGAUUCGAGUUUUUAAAAAUUCGAUCUAAACCCGACCCGUUGACAUCUCUAAAUGUGAUUUAGG
rnacentral:lncRNA from 1 species